CCAGGCUUGAACAGCGAGUGACCAUCUCCGAAAGGGGACUUCCGCAAGGACACUCGUAGAGGUGCUGCAUGGCUGUCGUCAGCUCGUGUCGUGAGAUGUUGGGUUAAGUCCCGCAACGAGCGCAACCCUUGUUUGCUGUUGCCAUCAGGUUAAGCUGGGCACUCUGCAGAGACUGCCGGUGAUAAACCGGAGGAAGGUGGGGAUGACGUCAAGUCAGCAUGGCCUUUAUGUCUGGGGCUACACACGUGCUACAAUGGCCGAUACAAACCGUUGCAAAACCGCAAGGUCGAGCUAAUCGGAUAAAGUCGGUCUCAGUUCGGAUAGCAGGCUGCAACUCGCCUGCUUGAAGUUGGAAUCGCUAGUAAUCGCGGAUCAGCACGCCGCGGUGAAUACGUUCCC
rnacentral:rRNA from 1 species